AAGACUAUAGACCUGCGGAGUACCUGCGGAAGGAUCAUUACUGUUAUUCAUCAUAAACACCCAGAGUUCAGACUUUGUUCAGACUUUGUUUGAACUCUUUGUGUGUUUGCAAACAAAAACACCCUCAAAAACAGCUUUUUAGUGUCUGACUGUUAACUAGUUUAAUACAAAAACAACUUUUAGCAAUGGAUCUCU
rnacentral:misc_RNA from 1 species